rnacentral:lncRNA from 1 species
AUGUCCUUAUGAAUCUCCUCCUUUUACUGCCAAUUUUAUGCCAUCUGAUGGCAUGUGGGUUAUGCUUUCACUUAUACUUCAACAAUUUUGCUGAUCCAAUUGAUGGACAAUUACAAUGGAAGUACCUGUUUCCCCCCGAAAACCCUCAUUUUUGUGUUGUGAUGGGGGGUUUCAAUCCCCAAGUUCUCAAACUAGAAACCAUAAAAUUUAUCAGCUAAACUAGGAAACCAUAAAAUUUAUCAGCUAAACUAGGAAACAUCUAUGGCUAACCUCAAAUUUGCUGACUCAUACUAGUGCAG